UACGUAGGGGGCUAGCGUUAUCCGGAAUUACUGGGCGUAAAGCGUGCGUAGGUGGUUUCUUAAGUCAGAGGUGAAAGGCUACGGCUCAACCGUAGUAAGCCUUUGAAACUGAGAAACUUGAGUGCAGGAGAGGAGAGUAGAAUUCCUAGUGUAGCGGUGAAAUGCGUAGAUAUUAGGAGGAAUACCAGUUGCGAAGGCGGCUCUCUGGACUGUAACUGACACUGAGGCACGAAAGCGUGGGGAGCAAACAGGAUUAGAUACCCUGGUAGUCCCU
rnacentral:rRNA from 1 species